AAUCAAGUUGAUGAAAACCUAGCCAGCACAGGGGAGCAAAGAGGUGGGGGACAGGGAGGAGGAGGGAAGAGAGCAAAGAGGAAGUGAGGAGGAAGGCUCCAGUGUGUGGCCCUAGACCCUAUCUCAAACCAAAGGUGUCUUCCUUGGAGAGCUGUUCACCUGAGAUCAGCUGAGGUAUCUUCUUUGAAAGAAACGUGCUGUUCGUUGUCUGACUGGGCUGAGUGAGCAGCCCUGCCCGUGAACAUGCGCACUGGUGUCCUUCUUUCUGCAGUUCUUCUAAAGGAGCAGUGACGAGUGGAGGGUUAAGAACAAAGCUGAAAGAAGAAACCAUGGAAAUAAAAAGCUAUGGUGAAGACCAGACACCAGCUUUAAAGCCUGCUGCUUACCCAGGGGAUUCUAAGUCUUCUCAGAGCGCAUUUGUGCUUCUUAAUUUUUACAUAAAAGAGUGAAUAGUUUAUUAUCAAUA
rnacentral:lncRNA from 1 species